rnacentral:rRNA from 1 species
AAUUGCUAGUAAUGGCAGGUCAGCAUACUGCCGUGAAUACGUUCCCCGGGCCUUGUACACACCGCCCGUCACACCAUGAGAGUUGGGAAUACCCGAAGCCUGUGAGCUAACUGUAAGGAGGCAGCAGUCGAAGGUAGAAUCAAUGAUUGGGGUGAAGUCGUAACAAGGUAGC